rnacentral:rRNA from 1 species
CUGCAGAAAAAGCGCCGGCUAACUACGUGCCAGCAGCCGCGGUAAUACGUAGGGCGCAAGCGUUAUCCGGAAUUAUUGGGCGUAAAGAGCUCGUAGGCGGUUUGUCGCGUCUGCUGUGAAAUCCGGAGGCUCAACCUCCGGCCUGCAGUGGGUACGGGCAGACUAGAGUGCGGUAGGGGAGAUUGGAAUUCCUGGUGUAGCGGUGGAAUGCGCAGAUAUCAGGAGGAACACCGAUGGCGAAGGCAGAUCUCUGGGCCGUAACUGACGCUGAGGAGCGAAAGGGUGGGGAGCAAACAGGCUUAGAUACCCUGGUAGUCCACCCCGUAAACGUUGGGAACUAGUUGUGGGGUCCAUUCCACGGAUUCCGUGACGCAGCUAACGCAUUAAGUUCCCCGCCUGGGGAGUACGGCCGCAAGGCUAAAACUCAAAGGAAUUGACGGGGACCCGCACAAGCGGCGGAGCAUGCGGAUUAAUUCGAUGCAACGCGAAGAACCUUACCAAGGCUUGACAUAUACGAGAACGGGCCAGAAAUGGUCAACUCUUUGGACACUCGUAAACAGGUGGUGCAUGGUUGUCGUCAGCUCGUGUCGUGAGAUGUUGGGUUAAGUCCCGCAACGAGCGCAACCCUCGUUCUAUGUUGCCAGCACGUAAUGGUGGGAACUCAUGGGAUACUGCCGGGGUCAACUCGGAGGAAGGUGGGGAUGACGUCAAAUCAUCAUGCCCCUUAUGUCUUGGGCUUCACGCAUGCUACAAUGGCCGGUACAAAGGGCUGCAAUACCGCGAGGUGGAGCGAAUCCCAAAAAGCCGGUCCCAGUUCGGAUUGAGGUCUGCAACUCGACCUCAUGAAGUCGGAGUCGCUAGUAAUCGCAGAUCAGCAACGCUGCGGUGAAUACGUUCCCGGGUCUUGUACACACCGCCCGUCAAGUCAUGAAAGUCGGUAACACCUGAAGCCGGUGGCCUAACCCUUGUGGAGGGAGCCGUCGAAGGGGGGAUUCAGUU